rnacentral:rRNA from 1 species
GUGGGGAAUUUUGGACAAUGGGGGCAACCCUGAUCCAGCCAUGCCGCGUGCAGGAAGAAGGCCUUCGGGUUGUAAACUGCUUUCGGACGGGAAGAAAUGGCCAUCUCUAACAUAGGUGGUUGAUGACGGUACCGUAAGAAGAAGCACCGGCUAACUACGUGCCAGCAGCCGCGGUAAUACGUAGGGUGCGAGCGUUAAUCGGAAUUACUGGGCGUAAAGCGUGCGCAGGCGGAUGUUUAAGUCAGAUGUGAAAUCCCCGGGCUUAACCUGGGAAUGGCAUUUGAAACUGGGCAUCUAGAGUGCGUCAGAGGGGGGUGGAAUUCCACGUGUAGCAGUGAAAUGCGUAGAGAUGUGGAGGAACACCGAUGGCGAAGGCAGCCCCCUGGGAUGACACUGACGCUCAUGCACGAAAGCGUGGGGAGCAAACAGGAUUAGAUACCCGGGUAGUCC